AUCCCUUUUAGUUUUUCCUUUUAGUUUCUCUCAUCUGUAUUUUUUUUUCCAGGCGUAUACCUGGACAAAGUCCAACAGUUCCAUGAUACCAUAAUGUCCAUGAUGCUUUCCUAGUGAAGGGAGUUUCACUUGCACGAUACUUCCUUAUACAGCCAAAUGCACUGAAACAAAUACGAACCUUGCUAUUAUUCAUUUCAUGUUGUAAUUUCUGUGGCCAUUGUAAUGCAAUUUAUUUUAAUCAGAGAGAUGGCCAAAGUGAUAAAGGAGAACACAGAUGAUGGUAAUUGUUUCAAGCAGGUGCUACAGCAGUAGCCAAGAUCUUUAGUGCGUAUAAUGGUACAGCACUUCCUCUUCUGUCAAGUGAAAAAAGUAGCACAUUUCAACUGGUUCUAGAAUAUCACUGUCCUCUUUAAGCUGGUAGAUUUUUCACCUUCCCUUGAAAGGCUGGUCAGCUGCAGUGCCAAGCAUUUCUUUUCUGGUAUAGUUAGCUAUAAUGUUCUACUUCUGCCAUUAUAGAUCCAUGGACAGAUAGAUCACAUAGAUGUGUGGUGUUCACGGGUACAUCUGAGAAAACCAGGGGUGGAAUAGCACAUUGGGCUUCAACAUAUAUCCUGCUUCCCUCGAGAUGUCGGUCUCAGCAGAUGGCACUGUAAUUAAACUUUUGCCACUGGAUAAACUUUUUUCCUUUGUACUUUACCAGGUGAUCAGUGCUAUUCCAAGAUACUGAGAAAGAUUUCACAUCGGGAGAUUAAGAAGAUUUGAUUGUUUCCCUUGACCUAAUACCUUUGCAUCGUUUAGUGCACUGCAGAACGAAUGGACGGCUGCAUGAAAUACGUGCAGCAAAAGUUAAACUACAGCUUUGGAUGGAAAGGAGUGGCAGUAGCUGCUGUCCUGAAAGUCAUGGCUCUUAUUCAGAUGAAUGACCCUUUACUCCCUCAACAGAGGCUUCCCAGAUGUUGAAGCCUACAUGGUCUGAAACUAUCCAGUUUCCAACUUCUUUUCACUCUUCAGGAAGAUACUGGAAAGGUUUUGUGUUUUCUUUGGUGUGCAAGUUGUAGCUGGCCUUUUUGUCCACUCCCAACUGUUUUUUAAGGAAGAAGAUGAGGCAGAGGAUGUCUUUAAGUGAACUACCUGGAGCAGGCAUUCUGCUGUGAUACUGAGAUUGGUUUUAUAGCAGACCCCCACUUGUCUCAGAUCAGGUCCGUGUCCGUACCAACAGAGGUACCUCAGAACUGGCUGCUGCUCACACAUAUUUCUAAAAAGCAAAAGCUUUCACAAACGAUACAGAAACCUACCACAGCUCAAGGAGACACUGCAGAACCACCUCUAUGAGAGACCUCUGUGGGCUCAUCUGCUGAACCCAUCAGGAAACAUCUCAGCCAGCUGCAAAUGGCAUUCCCCAGGCCUGCUGUGCUGUGCCAAAGGCUGCACAGUCUUUACCAAUUCUGAUUUCAGAUUUACCUUAAACUUGGAUUCUGCUUUUUGGGACAUGUCUGGUUUUGUGUUCCUUCAGCUCAGAGGGGUUACCCUGACAUCUGCAAGACCCAUUGUUUUGGGAUUUGCUGCCGUUCCCAGGGAGUCAUGCAGCAUCGCAGCAGCUAAGCUCCAGUCCCUUCCCCAGUCUCAGUGGGAUCAGUCCCUGUGCUGACAGAACUAACUCCACUGUGGUGCAGAAAGUGCCACUCCUUUAUUCCUCGCAACAUGCACCAGGUGACAUGACAAGCAAGCGCACCCUCUCAGAGUUCAGGAUCUAUAUUUGAAUAGUUCUGACAUGCAUAUGCAGUUCGUUGGUAUACAAAUCCAUUCUUUUUCAAGGACUCAGAUAUGUGCUAAUGUGCCUUUGGAUGCCCAGUGCUACCUAGGAUGGUCGACUGCCCACCUAUUAUUUCCCAUUUCCCACUAUCAGCUUUACUAUGGGACUUCUGACCCACUGCCAUCCACUUUCCCCAUUUGGAAGAUUCCCAUUGAUUUUUAGGACACAGUGAUCCACUUUUCAACAACAGUGCAUGUGGAGCCCGAGGGAAAUGUCCUUGCACCGCUUGAGGCAAAAGAUAUAUUAUUCUAUUAUGUCCCCAGCACAAAAUUAUUGAGGAAAACAAGAUAUUCGCCCACUCAAGCUGAAAUGUAAAGGUUUCAGAACUAUCACUCGUGGAUACCUUUUGCUAAACUAGUAUACAGGUUCUUAAACUAAUGUACUAAUCCUAUUGGUAAACAAACCAACUUAUAUCAGCAGAGAGUGGAACAAUUCAGAUGUUUGCUCUGUGAUCUCUUUUGUCUAAAGCUUCUUCUAUGGAGGUUGUGGCAUUAUGAGCAGUAAUACAUUACCCUCUGGUUAGAUCUAACAUGCCACGUGCACUCUGCUAAGUCUUGAGUAACAGCACAUCAAGCAGUAACUGCUGUUGCAAUGCCACUUUCAGUACUUGCGGCUCUUGUGAGUUUAACUCUUCAAAAGCAUGUCUCGUCUAAUUUGACAACAUGUGGAUUUGCUAGGUAGUGUUUUCAAAGACCUUUUGAUGUUUUGCCCAGACCAUAUCUAGAGCAAAUAUGUUCUCUCCUAUCAUAGAGAUUCUCUGUCCAGCGGUCAUCUCUGAACUGAACUAACACUCAAUUUGGGCAGUUUUUACAGAUUACUGUACCACACUGCAACUCUGCACGUUGCUCUAAGGUUAAAUACGAAUAGAAUUUUCCACUUGACCAUCUCCAAAGCAGUCCAAAUGGCUCAGAAUAAAAACUGAUUUGGCCAGUUCACAUAUUGAUACAGUCUACAGAAUUUUCAGAGAGCAGUGUGUAUAGGAUAGCCCACAAUAUAAACUACAAGAGGGGCAACCCCAGCACGUACACACCUCUUAUCAAAGCUUAGACGCUUUCCAUCAACCAUGUGUCGAAUGGAACUCAUGGACUGGUGUAACAAUUAAUGACUCCAUGACGCUACAUCACGUUGCAAAGGGCUUGAUGAUGGGUUUCUUCUGUGACCACGUUUAAUGGAUAGUAGAUAGAUCCCUAGGUUCAUUUCCCAGUCUGUUAGGCAGUUCGAUAUACCAUGGAGGAGUCACACGCAAAUCAUCAUCAGGUUGAUAAAGGGAGUGAACGAAGGGGUCAAAAGGAAUGGUACCACAGUGCAGGGAGUGCUGGUGAGCCAGGAUGACCUGCAAAACCUGUUUGUGUUGACCCAAGUGUGAAGUUUAACAAAUCUGAGAACUGACAUCACCACCUACAACCAACAAACAAAAUACUAUUAAGAAGCACACUCUGGGAAGCAAUCAACGACAAAGCCAGCUGCCAAGGGUUAAUGCUUGGCAUGUGAAUUCCGAUGAAAUAAGAUGGGAGUCUGGGUUGGUUGGUUUUUUUGUUUGGUUGUUUGGUUGUUUUUUUCCUUUGUGUGUGAUUUCAUAAGUUUGUUUUUUAAAUAAUCCUCACUUUCUUUAAAAAAUAAUUUAAGAAUUACCUCAAGCUUCAACUUUGUCAGGCAUGGCACUAUUGAACUUCCGACUCCAGAUAAGCUUAUUUUAGCAUUUUUAUUUCACAACUCCAAGAACAGCACAAUUCUAGUCUAAGAAUUAUUCCUUUUGCACUACUGUUGGGAAAAGAAAAAAAAAAAAAAAAAAAAAAAAAAAAAAAAAAAAAAAAAAAAAGAAGAAAGAAAA